AUGGCUUCUCGACCUUUUGGCUAAGAUCCAGUGUAGUAUCUGUUCUUAUCGGUUUAAUAUCUGAUACAUCCUCCAUCCAAGGACAAUAUAUUAAAUAGAUUUUGGAGCAGAGAGAUGGAAUAGAAGCUUGCUCCAUCCACUCCAUGCAUCGACCUGGUAUUGCAGUACCUCCAGGAACAGUACACCCCCU
rnacentral:snRNA from 1 species